rnacentral:miRNA from 1 species
UUGGCCUCUGUUCCAUGCCUGGGCU